CAGGUUGUGAGUACAACUCCAACAGCCCCCGGAUCCUUGGAGAGCUGCCCACAGAAGGCAGAGGUUCGUGUGCCUUUCUUCCUGAAUUAACCACCAACACGUGUGUCACUGCUUUGCUGUUGACCCCACGCCUUUGCUGUUGCAUAAAGGAAAGGACAAGAUAUGGGACGCAAGGAACCUUCAGGAUGCCUUGGGAAUGGAGGGGAUGCAGCCAGUUUGGGUCCUGUCUCUUUUGGUCCAGCAGAAAACCGUGUGUGCGAUCAGAGCUGGGAAAGUGCUCCUGCUGGCUGUAAUUAGGGAUGUCAUUGCAAAGCAUUAUCUCACAGAGCUGGAGCCUAUACAGAGCCAUACGUCCUCCGUAGCCAAUUGUGCACGGAGGUGAUGGGAGAGGGAAGGGUGCUGGGAACGCUCUCCCUCACUCAUUUCCAGGACGUUCUGCUGCUGUGUGGUCCCUUUCCCUUCUCACAGAGCAAUGAUGAAAGCAGACAGCCAGCGAGACCCCGGGGAGCCGCGCAGUGCAGCCCAUGGCUUCUCUUCCAGCCAAGGCUGUGUGGAGCUGCGGGUCCUCACCCCCAGCUGGGCUCAGCCCACUCCUCCAUUUCCCGUUCGCUUUCUCCCAGAGCAUAUUUUCGGGACGUGGAGAUGUCCCAACCCUCCCUUCCUCCCCAGCGGUAGCGCAUCUCGGAGGGGCCACGAGGGCCGUCGCUGCCGGUCCUGCUCUUCUCGUAAAGCACAGCGAGCUUCUGGCCAGCAGCAGCCAUGCAAUUUCAGAGAUUGAGCAAAUUCCCCCUCCCACCCACUGAGGACCUCCCGGGACCGGCGCACAUCCCACCACAGGCAGCAGCCACCUCGGCCAGCCGCCCAUUGCUGCAACGGCUUGAGUCAAUUGAGACCAUUUCUCAUGCAACCCAUCCAUACCGGAGGUCCCCAGGAGGAGGGUUGGCUCAGGAAAACCUUCAGCCCCAAACCCAGCACUCCCCCAUGCAGCUGACGGAGCACAGCUCACAGCGCAGUGACCCGAAGCGCCGCGCCGUCUGUGCCACGUCCAGCUGGCCCUUCCGCUUUGCUGGCGUGCUCCUUCCUGCUUUUAUUUUGGCUCUUUUUUGUGUGGGUUUUUUUCUUUUUUUUGGCUACGUAUGCGUGCAAGUCCAGAUGGGAGGAAAGGUCAGACUUGCUGAUGCAGGAUGCCGAGUUCUCAGACAAAUGAAGGCUCCGUUUGGCAGCGGAUAGAAAACAGGAAUAUUUGUCUUUAUUCCGAGACUGAAUUUUUGUGGCUAAGCUGCACCAAAAAUACAUCUUCCCCCCCCACCUCUCCCAGACAUGAGACACCAUUGAAUGCUGAAAGCAACUCUUCCCUGCCACAAAUGGACCAAAUAAACCCAGCACGAGACCGGUGCUUAGCAGAAACCAGAUGCGCCUCUAAUGCUGUCGUCUACAGCAAGCUGCGUCUGCAAACUGAUCUUUUAUUAAUGUGUGUGCACGGGUGGGAGAGCUGGGAGAGUCCCAGCGCCGGGAGCACAACGUGCCAUCGCCCCGUGCCCAUGGGCUGCCUUAUGGCUCCCAAAGGGCAUCGCUGCGGGGUUACCCAAAGCCCCUCCGGACCCAGCAUUCGGGAUUUGCAGCAUUUGGCCUCGGUUUACCCCGAGCUGCACCAUGGAGGUGGGUUUUGGAGGGGUUCUCGGCGUGUUCUGUGGCUGCAGGAGGAGAAGGAGCUGUUAGUUGGUGCUGGCAGCUGAGAUGGGUGAGGUGAUCCAGGACGCUCCCCCCAUCCGCGUGGCUGGAUGUGCCCUCACCUGGGAGCUGGGCAGCUGUUGGAAGCACCAGAAAGGGCUUUCCCCCCCCCUGGUCUGCCCAGUUCAGGCUCUGUGUCUCUAUUUC
rnacentral:lncRNA from 1 species